rnacentral:lncRNA from 1 species
CGCAGAAUAUAAGAUAACAAGAACAACGAGAAACAAGAUCCUGAAGCCAGCUGCAGGUACAUGGUUGAUAAGUGUAAAAGACAAAAUGAUCAAAACCACUAUGGAAACAAUGUUAUAGAGCACAACAACAGCAAAACUCCAUAUAAAGGUGACCAUGAGUCUCUUCCAGACCUUUGGCACAACACUCAUGAUCUUCUUGAAGGUGAUUGGCUUGGCAGUGUAUAUGCAAGCUAUGGUAUAAACAACUGCAGAUGUGGAAAGAAGGGAAAAGAUUAGAAGGAAAGUGAAGUAUGCAAACUUGAAGAGCCAGAAGGCAGUCCAUUCCGCGGAGAUGGUAUCAGAGAGUUUAUCAUGUUUUGGCGUGCCAGAUUGGGUGAAGUCUAAGGUAUCUUGAUUGUCAAGGAUCUUGAAGAAAAUCAUUUGGGAUAUUUGCAUAUGAGCUAGGAAGAUGAAGGAUAGUGGAAGGAUGAGAGCUAGGGUUAUCUUGCUGAAGAUUUUUCUCCAUGUCAAGAUGAUCUUGAAGGAUUCUUUGAAGAUGCCAAAGAACCCAAGAAACUGGAGCUCCUCUUGUUCUCUGUCCAUGAUUUUUUCCCUCUCCUUCUUCACAAAGAAAUGGGUGAUGGAGGGAGGCAUUGAGUUGUUGCCUAGUUGGCAUUAAAAGGUCGAUUUCAGAAAACAAGAGUGGACUUUCAUUUGACAAAUUGCCCAUGGUCUUCCUCAUGAAUUACUUGUAAAACAUUAUAAUAUUGAUAAACUUUUGGAGGGUAAUGAAGGGAUUAUGAGAAUUAUAUUAUCGGGUGAUAAUUGGCUACGUUGCAAUGGCAGACACAUGGUGUUAAUUUUAAGCUAGCCAGUCACCAUCCAAUGAAAAUUGUGGGCACCUAUAAGCUGGAAAUUUUAGAUUAAAAAUAAAUUAGCAGUUAAUUAUCAUUUUUGCUUAAGCUUAAACGCAUCAUUUGCUGUGUGUUAACCAAUAGAAUCAUUUGAUAUCUUUCUUAAUUAUUUGAAAUUAAUUAAGUCUAGUUAUAAUUAAUAGAAAUGGUUAGAAGGGAGUUAAAGAUGAAACAUCACUAUAUAUGUGUCCAUGUCGAAUUACAACAAAUUAAUAAUAUUAGCAAUUCACCCCUACAUAAUCGAUAAAUUAAUUAUUCAAGACUCAAAAGCAGGACAUUUAUAAAGUCUACCCGGCGUGGACUUACAAAUGAAAAACCAGACGAGGAAGAUUCCAAUCCAAUCUAGGGCGGAAGAUUCCAAUCCAAUCUAGGGCGUUCUGAAUUCCAAUUUUCUUGCGAACAAUAAUCCACCGUACGUCUUUCGAAGGUGGAUUCCAUUAAGAAAACAUCCUUUUGCAAUAGUAAGAAAGGGGUUUUAUCGUUAUUUGUAGAAAAAAAAUAAUGCAUUGGCAGGCAGAGUCAAUUUUACUACUUUUCAUUUUAAAUCCACUGUAAAAUCAUCAUAAUAUCCUUGAGUUAAAAUUAUCUUUGCCUUGGGUCAAGUGUUUUUUUCUGUCCUAUUCGCUUGUUUUUAUAAUUAUAAUUAUUAUGUUUAAUCAGGGGUAAUUUAAUAUUUAGGAAUGUAUAAAAUGUUAUUUACAUUAAAAAAGUUGGUUGCGUGUGUCAUUCACGUGGACGUGGGUGGGUGCUCCCGCUCUCUUCAAACGACGCAUACAACGUUGCUCUGAGGUCAAAAUCCAGCUUUCACGAUUAUAUUUUAAUCCUCAUAGCGUCAACUUCAUUACUGGAUAAAUGCUGGGUUUUGCACCCCUUACCAUUUCUUCUUUUCCUUUUUUCUUUCAUCUCUUCUUGAUUUCAGAGGCUUCCCUUGUAUAUUUUCAAAGCAGCCUUUGAUUUUCUUUUUAUUUUAGAUUUAAUCUCUAUUCCUUUUAUUACAAUUCUUUUUUUAAAAUAAUCCAUAGAUUUGAGAUUUUCUUUUGAUUUAACAUUUCUUUGAUUUUUUUACCUUUUAGAUUUGGUUCUCAUUCUUUUAAUUGUUAUUCUUUUAAUCACUAUCUUAAUUAAAUUAUCUUUUCAAUUGUACCCCUCAAUAGUUUAUAUCAUUCUCUUAAUUGAAUUAUUUUUUCAAUUGCAUCCCUCAUUAUUUUAGUUCAUUUUAUUUUAUAUCAGAUUUGGUUCUUAUUCUUUUUAUUGCUAUAUGGUUUCUUUUUAAUCCUUUUUUAUUGGGACUUUCUUUUUUGAUUCCACCAUUCAACAUUUUAUUGAUUGGAAUUUCUUAAACAUUUUGGGUCACGGGUUUGAAUGAUUAGACCAGGUUGGCUUAGAUCUUUUUUUGAAGUCCUUUUUUAUAAUUGAUUUUUUUUUAUUCUAUCAUUCUAUGGGGUUAUCCUGAUCUCGUGUUAACCCAGUUUGACUCAGCCCAAUAUUAUGUUUUAUUUGUUUGUUUGUUUGUUGUUGUUUUCAAUUUUUUUUAAUCAUAUUAUCAAAUUAAUCGAGAUUUAACCCAAGUCUUGAAUCUUUCUUACUUCUUUAAAAACAUUAUCGUCACCUAAACAUUUUUUUUUUCGCAUUGAAAAUAAGUUUGGUCCAGCCAACAACAUAGGGCAGACCACCAAUCUAGUAAACAAAGCUAAAUGAGGAGGGGAAAUCAUUCUUCCCCUUCUCACAUGUAUUUUUUUUCUUUUUCCUUUUGUUUUCAUUUACAUCUUUCAAUUAUUGAGUUUAUUAGAAAUUGAAUUUUGUUAUUUAUAUUGGUUUUCUUUAUACGAGCUUAUCGUGGUCUCGAAAAAAAUAUCCUGACAUUAGGUUUACUAUCAUCUAUUUUCUUACCAUAUUAUUAAAUAAAAAUUGUUAAUUAAUUAUUAUGAUCUGGACUUCAUGAUUUAUUUCGAUUUACUUUUUAUAAGAUCAUCACAAUCUUAGAAAAAUGUAUCGGCAUUGGGUUGGUUCUCGGUUUUUUUAGCAUUUAUUUAUUUUUUAUAAUUUUUUAUUAUCAAGAAAAACAUAAUUAUUAGAAAUUAGACUUCACGAUUUAUUUUAAUUUAUUUUUAUAGGGUUACUAUGACCUUAGAAAAACAUCUCAUUAUUGAGUUAAUGCUUAUUUUUGUAAGUAUAUAUUACUUUAUCGUAUAAUUAAAUAAAAAUAUUUUCAUAAAAAAACAAAUAAAUUUAUUAAAUUCAAUGGAGUUUAUAACUUAGAUUAAGAGUAGGUUUAUCGGAUUGAUCCAAUAUAUUAUUAUUUUAAUAUGUUUUUUAAAAAAUAUAUCUUAAAAUUAAACCGCAACUGGGAUGGACCAAGAUAUGAUACAAUAAUAUAAUAUAGAAACACAAGGAGAAUCGAGAUGAUCUCAUUGAUAGUUUAUUUGUUUAUUUACAAUAAUACCUAAAUAAUCAACAAUGGACCAUCCCGCAACACACUCUGGGAUGCUUGGCUAGCAUGACUACAUAUGGUUUUAAGACCUCUAGAUAAAAUAGAAAGGAAGAUCUAGACUUGCAAUUGCUCCAUUUGGACAUCCUUGGACUUCAGAGCAACAUACUCCCCAAGAUAAACCUCAAGAUGAUCGGACAAGGAGGACUUGUUGAUAUUCUCAUGGUGAUAGGAUUUGCACACAAAGUAGAGAACAGUUUGGAUGACAAGGUCGAAGAGCAUCACCUUACACAGCAAGAAGAAGCAAACUAUUCCCACUCCAAUUCUGACUCCCAAUGGCUUGUGCAAAACCACAAAAAUCUCGUAUAGCAGCUGAAUUCCCACAAAACAAACUCCAACCACAAUAAAAACAGCUACUGUAACUCCCAUCUGGCCCUUGAUUAGGUUUUUGCUCUUGAUCAUGGCUUUAAUCCCGUAAAAAUCUUCUAAAACAGAGACCACACUAGCCAGAUGCCAAACUAUGGUGAUAUACAACAUCCCCACGGAAUAUAUGAUGAUAAGAGCAACAAGAACCGCAAUUCUAAAUCCGACUGCAUUUACGUGAAAAACAACUUGAGUCCACAAGGUUAAAAACACCACAGCUGCAAUGAUGUUAUAGAGCACAACAACAAGAAAACUCCAUAUAAAGGUGACCAUUAGUCUCUUCCAAACCUUUGGCACAACACUCAUGAUCUUCUUGAAGGUGAUUGGCUUGACAGUGUAUAUGCAAGCUAUGGUAUAAACAACUGCAGAUGUGGAGAGAAGGGAAAAGAUUAGAAGGAAAGUAAAGUAGGCAAAUUUGAAGAGCCAAAAGGCAGUCCAUUCCGCGGAGAUGUUAUCAGAGAGUUUAUCGUGUUUUGGUGUGCCAGAUUGGGUGAAGUCUAA